CCCCCUCUCCUACGAGGAUAACUUGAUCGGCGGUGUUGGAUGCUGCGCGUGUUGGUGGGGAGCUCUCCCUUCCGCUCCGACCACAUUGACAUAAUCGUCGUUACCACCACUACUACGAAAUCAACCCCACCCGCACCCUCCCUAACACCACCAUCACACUAUCAUAUCACGUAUCUCUACUACCAACAGAGCCGGCGUCGCUACAAGGUCCGGCCACGGAGCUCCGAAGACUCGGAAUACUCGGUUGCGACAGCGCAGAAGCCGCGGACGAAGAGAUGCUGGUCGCGUUUGAUAGUGGUGGGAGAGAGAAGAGGGUCGAGUUGACCGCGGUCGCGCGCGCGUCGCGUCGACUGCUCUCUCCUGCCGGCCUGCAACUUCCCGGAUAUCUUUCCGGUAAACUUUCCUCUCCUCGCCGUAGCCCCGGCUUUUCCCGUCCUGCUCGCUCCGCCGUCGUUUCACGCGUCCGGACGUAUCGUCUGCCGUACUGGCCCGAACCGAGAUCCAGGAUUUCCGACCGGCGCGAGAGACGCCGACGACAUCGCGGGCUGCGUCGCAAGACCGGAAGAAUUCGUCGUUCUUUCUCCUCCUCGUCUCCUUCUUUCUUUGAUUUCCUUCCGACGAGACGUCAAACCCGACGUAAUAAACGUGAAAAGUGUUCUGCUCGCUCGUAGAUAAUGGAACAUGUGCUAAUUGCGUGUUUUUUUUUUUUCAAUGGUGACAUAAAGUUCGAGAUAAAUCUCUUGAUCGGGAGGUAACGUGUGUGGGGUGCGCGAGACACUCUGUAUUGGGAACUAUUGAUUCUUGGACCAAGAUGGAGUCUCCGUUCCUUUGCACGCAUACAUCGUCCAAUAUUAAGAUAUAUGCAUCGUUGUUACUUGAAAUAUUUUCUUCUCAAAUUAAUACAACGCGUCGCAUUAUAGGCUUUGUAUGAUUAGUGUUGUUAAAUUAAAUACGUAUAAUUCAAAUCAUCAAAAUCCACGUUAUCAACAUAAUUUGUCAUUCUAAACAAUUCUGUUGCUUUAAUUAUGUGAAUGUUGUAGGUCGAAGUAUAAACGUGCUGUAUCUACAUUAUUAAAUGGAAAAAAUCAAAAUUAAAAUUGAAAGAUUAUAAUAUAAGCGAUAAAGUAAAGUGUCUUUAUUAUCGGUUCCUUUAUCGCAGAUAUCGGUACCUUUCAGACUGCAACUUUGGCCAUACUUGACACUGAGCCUGUCUUAAAUUGUUCUUUCUUCUGUGUUUCACUCAUAUAUAUUACAAUAAUAAAAAAAAAUUGAUAAAUAUAACAAUACUUGCAUUAAUAACCACAAUAAUAAUAUAUGUAAUAUUAAAUUCACAGUGAAGCAAUACCGUAAUAGCGACAAGUUUGCAAACAAGGAAUUAGGCUGUGCGUAACGAGUGCAGCAGAAGUGAGACCGAAAAACUAGUGAAUUGACGAUAAAUCUCUUCGAAACCAUCGUUUGCAGAAAGUCCUUUUUCAUCAUUAAUCAUUGAUUAGUCAGCCAAGUCACAGUCGUACCUGCUAAACAUGCUUAAUUUCUGCGCCCGGAAAAAUGGUCACCAAUUGUCAACCGCCAUCGACGUUGCUUGACUUUGAAGAUCGUACGUAAUCUAACACUUUGUUAUGACCCAUGAAUACUUCAUGUUUAUGCAUACAUAAUUGUUAUGUAUCAUUUUAAUAAAUGUUGUCAGAAGGAUAAAACAUGUAUAGUUAACUUAUAUUUCUUAUAAAUAAAUGUAUAGUUUUAGUUUUUUACUGAUUUUUACAUAUGCAAAAUAGCAUGUGAAAUAACUUAUGAAAAGUUAUAUCCAUUUUUUGCUCUGUUCGUGAAAAAAUACGAGAUAGAUGCUAUUUCUUAUAAUUUUUGAGUAUUGUUAAUAUGCUAUAUUGUUUCUAUAAGUGUAAUAUUGUCUUAUUCUCUACUUUUUUUAUGUUCCAAUGUUUCAAUUUGUGCUUCUUAUAAUUUUUCUUUACGCUUUUCACUCUUUCAUUACAUUAAAUUCACUUUUCCUAAUAUAAAAAAGUGACAAAUGUAUAAUUUCAGGUAGAAAAUCAACUGCGCGAAAAAGAUAAUAUCAAGUAAAGAGAUUCAAUUUUUUAUUUUAAAAUAAUAUCACUAGUCAUAAUGUGUGUCCUCUUAUCAUUUUGAUUUUAUAGAUAUUUGAGGAAAGAAAUAAUUACUUUUGUAUACGUAAAAAAUUUUGCCUAGCGAAUAGCGAAUUCUUUCAAUUCUUCGAAUCAUUGGGGCAGCCAUAUUCUAUCCUUUUAUGAAAAAUUCUAAGCGGAAAAAAGUAAAAUAAAAAAGAAAAAAGUAAAAA
rnacentral:lncRNA from 1 species